GAUGAACGCUGACAGAAUGCUUAACACAUGCAAGUCUUUGGCGAAGCUGUGCUUGCACAGCCUAGCCAAGGCGGACGGGUGAGUAACGCGUAAGGAACUUGCCCUGCAGUCAGGGAUAACAGACGGAAACGACUGAUAAGACCUGGUAAAGUCAGGCGGACUCAUGUCCAGCCUGAUGAAAAGAGAUGCUGCAGGAGAGCCUUGCGUCCUAUUAGCUUGUUGGUGGGGUAACGGCCCACCAAGGCGAUGAUAGGUAGCCGGCCUGAGAGGGUGGACGGCCACAAGGGGACUGAGAUACGGCCCUUACUCCUACGGGAGGCAGCAGUGGGGAAUAUUGGACAAUGGGGGCAACCCUGAUCCACCAAUUCUGUGUGCACGAUGAAGGUUUUCGGAGUGUAAAGUGCUUUCAGCAGGGAAGAAAAAAAUGACGGUACCUGCAGAAGAAGCGACGGCUAAAUACGUG
rnacentral:rRNA from 1 species